UACGAAGGGGGCUAGCGUUGCUCGGAAUCACUGGGCGUAAAGGGUGCGUAGGCGGGUCUUUAAGUCAGGGGUGAAAUCCUGGAGCUCAACUCCAGAACUGCCUUUGAUACUGAAGAUCUUGAGUUCGGGAGAGGUGAGUGGAACUGCGAGUGUAGAGGUGAAAUUCGUAGAUAUUCGCAAGAACACCAGUGGCGAAGGCGGCUCACUGGCCCGGUACUGACGCUGAGGCACGAAAGCGUGGGG
rnacentral:rRNA from 1 species